rnacentral:lncRNA from 1 species
CACACCACAAUACCAAAAGAGCUGACAACAUCUAAAACGUGUUGAGCUAUUUUAAUUUUCCAGCAUCCUCCUCUGGUUCCCACUGUCACUCUGAGUUAUUUCUCUUUCAGCUGGACGCACACACAAAGGGAGAGAACUGUCAGGACCAAAUUACACAUCUGAGGGAUGCUGAACAGGAACUGAAGCACAAACUUGAGGAGAUUCUGGAAAACCGUCGCAGGAAAGACAGUGAAAUAGAGGAGGUAUGAACAACUUUAAGAAAUACUGUGUGUCGCCAUCGUAGCUGCUGCUGGUGGUUUAUAAGGAUGUUUGUGUGUCAUAUAGAAAUCCACGACCUUGAUUCAAAGACAUGAAGAGCUAGAGGAACAUUUGGCCACCAUUAACGUACGUAUCACAUAUCAUACGGAUGUACUGUUUGUGUGUUUGCUCGCUGUGGCCGUCGUGGCGUGCUGAACCUACAAACCUCUUCCGCAGGGCCUCAAACAGGAUCAGAGGAAACUUCGCCAGCUGCUGAGCAUCGCACAAGAGCAGCAGAUAUUCGUGAGAAGGAGGAGGAGCACAAAGACGAGGGGCCUCCGCAGACUGGCAGCUGGUGGCGUCGCUGUGCCCGGAACCUGUGGAGAGGAGUUCACCUAGCAGCAAACAUCAGCCUCGGUGUCAUUCUUUCUGUGGGUAUCUUGGCCGCCGUCACGCCCGUCUGCUACACUCCAGAUAUUGACUGCAACUUUAAUUCUCUUCCACAUUUGAUUUUGGCUGCUUUUGACCUGCUGUAAAGUUCAUCACAACAAGAACUCCAUUACAUAGAGAACUUCACCCUGACAUGAUGACACUGACAUGACCUUAGACGACUAGUGACCACUCUGCACCUGUCCGCCCAGGAAGGGGGCUCCCUCAUUUGUGGUCCUUCCCAAGGUUUCUUCCUUUUUAAAUUUCCUGUUAAAGGGAUUUAUUGGGAGUUUUUCCUUGCCCUCUUGAGGGGGGUGCUACUACUAAAUUUGACAUACAACUUCAUUUGACUUGAAUUUGGCCUGAUAAUUAACACAUAGCGACUCCACACAUUUAAUCACUGUCCCUUUUGUGAGUGUCUGCAUAUUCACCUGAAUGUUUCAAACUGUUCAAACAUAAAGAUGAUGUUAUUUCC